rnacentral:rRNA from 1 species
GAUUAUGGCUCAGGAUGAACGCUAGCUACAGGCUUAACACAUGCAAGUCGAGGGGCAGCAUGGUCUUAGCUUGCUAAGAUUGAUGGCGACCGGCGCACGGGUGAGUAACGCGUAUCCAACCUUCCCUAUAGUAGGGGAUAGCCCGUAGAAAUGCGGAUUAAUACCCUAUGUUGUAUUUCGAUGACAUCUGACGAAUACCAAAGGUUCACCGCUAUAGGAUGGGGAUGCGUCUGAUUAGGUAGUAGGCGGGGUAACGGCCCACCUAGCCAACGAUCAGUAGGGGUUCUGAGAGGAAGGUCCCCCACAUUGGUACUGAGACACGGACCAAACUCCUACGGGAGGCAGCAGUGAGGAAUAUUGGUCAAUGGACGAGAGUCUGAACCAGCCAAGUAGCGUGCAAGGAUGACUGCCCUAUGGGUUGUAAACUGCUUUUAUGCGGGAAUAAAGUUCGGCACGUGUGCCGUUUUGUAUGUACCGCAUGAAUAAGGACCGGCUAAUUCCGUGCCAGCCGCCGC